UUCAUUAGCGGAGCAAUUUGCUGGUGCCCUGUGCAUGGGUGUGACGUCAGAGUCAGUUUGUAUGCUGCGGGAGAUGGUCAGUGAGGAGGUGCGUCACUUCGGUGAAAGUUAUAUCUCGCUGUCUAGUAGCCGUGGUUGAGACUGAGGUGCCUACAACAUGCCUUGGGGUUCAGUGUCGUCUCGUUUUGGUGACUGCUUUGAUAGCUUGCUAUGUCUGUGGUUAAUCAGGGCGAUUGAUGAUGUUGAUAACCUCUGCUGUUCGGGACUCUGGCGAAAUGGAGCGAUACGACCCGUCUUGAAACACGGACCAAGGAGUCUAACAUGUGUGCAAGUAUUAGGGCGUGGAAACCCAAAUGCGUAAUGAAAGUAAAUGCUACUUAUGUAGCUUUGGUAGGAAAGGGCUGUAAUGGUCCUGGCACUAUCGACCGAUCAUGAGCCUACGGGCGAAAGAUUUGAGUAUGAGCAUAUAUGUUGGUACCCGAAAGAUGGUGAACUAUG
rnacentral:rRNA from 1 species